GGGGAUAUAGCUUAAAUGGUAGAGUACUUGUUUUGCAUAUUAGUUAUCCCAGUUCGAGUCUGGGUAUCUCCA